GUUACUUUACCGUGUUCAUCGCGUGGGCCUUUUAAGCAGAGAGUCGCAGGUUCGAAUCCUGCACGACCCACCA
rnacentral:tRNA from 1 species